AUGAUCUAUUUAUUCACACGUGUAUUACUGUUUCCCGUUAAUACAAUUAUAGCAUGAACAAUAGACGAUUAUCGUGAACAAGGAAAUAUGAUAAUAACCAUUUUAUUAUUGCCUCUAGGGCAUAUUUCCAACAGUCUCCCACUUGCACUAGAGUCAAUAAUCUAGUUACAUUGUGAUGUAUCAAACACCCAUAGCAUUAUGGUGUUGAU
rnacentral:lncRNA from 1 species